rnacentral:lncRNA from 1 species
AGGAGAUGAUCCAUACAGAGUUACCAGUGGAACCACGGCAUAUCCUGUGGGUCCAAUGGAGGCAAGAAUUUCUAAGAAUAAGAACCUUAGAUCUUACUAAAGGUAGUGUUGAUGAGAUAUUAGGAGCUCAAAUUCAGGAAGAUCUGAGUUCAGAUUUUUAACUCCACAAGUUCCUAACUAUAUGACCCUGGCAGGCUAUCUAACCUCUCUGAGUGUCCAUUUCCUCCCCAGGAAAGUCUCAAGCCAUGCCGGCUUGCUGUGAUCAGUAAAGGAGAUAAUAUGCAUAAAGUAGUUUGCACUGUGCCUGGCACAUAGGAAGCACUCAGGAAACAGUGGCCACUACUUUUAUUAUUACUGUCAGCAUGUAACCAAUGGAAAUAACAUUCUACCUCUAUGUUGUAAGUUUUCGGGUGGGAAGUGAUUUUGUUCUUGGUGCAAGGAAAAGAAUAUUGAAAAUUAGGAACCAGUCAGAAUUUAUCACCAUCAGGCAAGGAAAAUGAGUUUGCCUCUAGAUAGCAAGGCUUGUUUUAUAGACAAUCUGAUUUUCCUAGUCAGAGGCAAGGCAUUUUUCAGGAGAUCCAAUGCUUGUCUUCUAACUGUAUACUCCCAAAGCAACUUUUUGUCUAUGAUCUGAUCUCUCAAGUAGGGCAGGCCAAAGGACUCUCCCUAGCUCUGAAGCCAGACCCUUCUCCCACUCAAAGUCAUGAAAUUCGCCUACAGAGAAUCCCUCAGAGUCUUGUGAGUUUGGUUACCAUGAGUCAGUCACCAGUACACUUGUGUGUGUGCAAAUGAAAAUAAGGCUUCUGCAUCUGCAGAAAUGAUGGCUGGAUGGGGGUUUGUGGGGACCACCUCGGCACCCAGAAACUGUCCCCCUGUGAACUCUUGUCUGAAAACUUCUAGCCUGCCAUUCGGAUACAACUGUCAACGAGUGUUCAAUAAGCACAUGGAAAAAUACAAGGAUGCUAUAUAUUUUUAUUCCUAUGUGAGCCGUAUUGAGCAUUUUCAAUAGAAAAAGUUUAUCUCUUGGUAGCACCCCAUCUUUACAAAGGAACUUCUAUGCCAGCAUAAACCAGGCACUGUAAUAAAUAUACCUUAUACAUAGUCUUUGCAGUGACGCUGUGAGGACACUGUUCCUGCUGUCAUUUUAAAAGUAAGUAAACUGAAGCCCAGAGAAAUUCAGUGACUUUCCCAAAGUCAUAAAGCGCAAAAGAAAGAAAGGCCGGGUCUGACCCCUAUUCUGUCUGACGUCCGUGAUCUUUCCACCCUG